rnacentral:rRNA from 1 species
CCUACGGGCGGCAGCAGUGAGGAAUAUUGGUCAAUGGACGGGAGGCUGAACCAGCCAAGUCGCGUGAGGGAAGACGGCCCUACGGGUUGUAAACCUCUUUUGUCCGGGAGCAAGGUGCAGGUCGGGACCCUCUGUGAGAGUACCUGAAGAAAAAGCAUCGGCUAACUCCGUGCCAGCAGCCGCGGUAAUACGGAGGAUGCGAGCGUUAUCCGGAUUUAUUGGGUUUAAAGGGUGCGUAGGCGGAUUGAUAAGGUAGAGGUGAAAUGUCCGGGCUUAACUCGGGAACUGCCGCUAAUACUGUGGAGCUAGAGAGUAGAUGCGGUAGGCGGAAUGUAUGGUGUAGCGGUGAAAUGCUUAGAGAUCAUACAGAACACCGAUUGCGAAGGCAGCUUACUAAACUGUGACUGACAUUGAUGCUCGAAGGUGUGGGUAUCAAACAGGAUUAGAUACCCUUGUAGUC